AUAUACAUAAAGGAAUCCCACCCUGUUCGCAAUGGCACUGCAUGAAUUCACGGAUGCAAAGCGACAGACCGCGGAUCAUGCGGUACCAUAGCUGACGGUGGUGAGAUCAGAUUAUUUGAAUC
rnacentral:pre_miRNA from 14 species